rnacentral:lncRNA from 1 species
GGAAGGGGUGCAACAUUAGAUGGGCUGGUCAGGGAAGGCUUCUCUGAUGAGCUGACAUUUGAGCAGGGACAUGCAUGGUAACAGUCUCUAGCCUUAUGAAGCUCAGUAAGAACCACGUCCCUGAGGUUGGAACAAAUGGACAAAAUGAAGAGGAGAAGAUGGCAGAUUGCUUAAUUUCUUGAAAUGUGAUGAUCAAGAACACAGCUUGGAAGUUCAACGGACCGUAAGUUUGAGCCAAGACUGAACCGCAAAGGACACAUUCCUACUUUCACAGAAGUAGAAUCUAUUCCUUCCCUCCUCUUGAACCUGGGCAAGCCUGAGUGAUUUGUUUGGUCAAUAGAGUGGGAUGGAAGUAACGUUCUGGAACAGCUGAGUCCCGGUCAUAAGAAGCCAGGCCAUCUCUCUCUGAGCCUUCUGGAACCAUCACUCUAGGGAAAGUAAGCUACCAAUCAGGAGUCUGAUUACCCUGAGACCACCAUGCUGUAGGAAGCCCAAGUCACAUGGAAAGGCCCUGGAAGAAGACAUGCUAUGUGGAGAGAGAGAAAAAGAGAGCGGCCAAGGAGGACUGAGGCACCAGACGUAGUUGUGCUCUCUCUGGGCCCUGCAGUGAAGUUUUGGCCUGGUGCCUAGAAACACCUCCAUGUUACUCAGAACAAGGCGAGGUGCAAACCAAACCAAUGGCACGGAAGGUCCCUUGCUGCUUCUAGAAUCUGUCCAGCUAUCGCAUCAAAAUCAUGUUCAGCAUCUGUGAAAUUGACCCUCAACUGUGAAAUCAUAUUUUAAUGAUAAAGUGCCAAAAGUGUUCUGCAAGUAUAAGGUGUGUGUCCGUGAUCCCACUCUUCUCUGCACCUCUGCCUGCUCUCCCAAAUGAAGACUGCCCAUCCGGCUCAUCACCUUGGUCCUACCUAGCUUUCCAGGCCAAGUUCAAAUUCUUCCUUUGCAAUGGAACUGAGGACCACCUCAUUGGUCCCAUAUAUCUCUUCUCUUCUUGAUCCAAAUCCCUGCUCAAAAGGAAGAUUAGCCCUGAGCUAACAUCCAUGCCCAUCUUCCUCUAUCUUAUAUGUGGCAUGCUGCCACAGCAUGGCUUGAUAAGUGGUGUGUAGGUCCAUGCCCAGGAUCUGGGCUGGCAAACCCUGGGCCACUGAAGUGGAACACUCAAACUUAACCACCACGCCACCCGGCUGGCCCCCUUCGGACACAACUUUUAACCUUCAUCAGCCUCAAGUGACCACCUGUAAAACGGCUACAAGGUCUGACUGUCUAUGAGGCUGUGAGCACUUGGUGAUGUUUAAUAAACAGGGCCUGGACUAGGGCAAGAAUGGCCAGAGGCAGAACCAGAAACGUAGGGAGAAGGUUUUCCUUUGCAGCUUUCUGAGAGCCCUUACAAGCACUUGAUCUUUGUUCCCUUCAGCAACAAUGGAUGAGAGUAUACAACAUUGGAGCCACAAAGUGUGAACUGACGUAUGAAUUGGAGAAAGAUGUUUGCCGGGUAGGAGGAAUGUGGAAGACCACGCUGGCUCCAAACUGUGAAGACUGAGGCACAUAUUAGAAGAGUCUUCUCCCCAACAGCUCCCAUCUAUACCAGUUACCAGUUUGCUGCUUCUACCCCAACGACCAGGCCGUCUCCCCUACGCAGAAACCUAUUAACCCUAGGAGGUG